rnacentral:misc_RNA from 1 species
GUUUCCCUUUCAGGCUGUUUUCUCUUGGUUUACUGUAGUGCAUAGCCUGUAGAACCCUUUUUGGUGGACAAGUAGAAAUGCUUUAGUAUAAUUGGUAGAACUCUAGGGUUAAGAUGAUAUGAAAUGAAUAGUUUCAGAUUUCAAAGGAAAAAAAUUGAAAUAUUUACUUCAGGUUCAUUAUGAGGCUGCACGUUAUUGUUUUUGUCUCCAAGCUCGAGCAUGUUUAUAAAUUGUUAAAGGCCUUUUUAUUUUUAGUGCCCCUUCCAUCUCUAUCCAUUUCAUCUCAGACAUUGGCCUAAAGUUUUAAAAGCAGUCUUUGAUAGAAUUAUGUCCAAGCGGUCUCCAUUUAACAAAAGUCUGAUUUCAGGAUUGUAUUUCCUCAAAUUUCAUAAAGCUAAUGCAAUUAUAUGAAGGAAAGGCUAGGAUCCUAUUUUAGUUUCAUUCUUGGGUAGGAGUGAAUGAGAUACUGAUUUUGAAAAUUCAGUUUUCUUUUUUCUUCCCAGCUUGCUAUGGGGGUCUGUGGGGUUCUGUGAGGCUAGGUGAUUUCCUUUGCUUCAUUUUUGGUCUUCUGUUUUUGCUGUUAACAUGAUAGGAGUGCAUUCCUAGGAUUGAGCUAGAAAAUCUUUUACGGGGCUCAAAACAAAUGAUAUCAUUGAAAUAGUUUUUUCUUCAUUUGACUGGGAGGUAUUUUAAUCUUUUUCCUUCAAAAAAAAAAAUGAAU